rnacentral:miRNA from 1 species
CACUGUGUGUGUGUGUGUGUGUGUGUGUGUGUGUGUGUGUAUACACACACACACACAUAUAUACACACACGCCUCAAGGUGUU